GACAGAGGGUGCAAACGUUGUUCGGAAUUACUGGGCGUAAAGCGCGUGUAGGCGGCUAAGUAAGUCGGGCGUGAAAUCCCACGGCUCAACCGUGGAAGUGCACUCGAAACUGCAUAGCUAGAGUCCUGGAGAGGAAGGUGGAAUGCUUGGUGUAGAGGUGAAAUUCGUAGAUAUCAAGCGGAACACCGGUGGCGAAGGCGGCCUUCUGGACAGUGACUGACGCUGAGGCGCGAAAGCGUGGGGGAGCAAACAGG
rnacentral:rRNA from 1 species